rnacentral:rRNA from 1 species
CUACGGGAGGCACCAGUGGGGAAUAUUGGGCAAUGGGCGCAAGCCUGACCCAGCAACGCCGCGUGAGGGAAGAAGGUUUUCGGAUUGUAAACCUCUGUCCUUGGGGACGAAGAAGUGACGGUACCCAAGGAGGAAGCUCCGGCUAACUACGUGCCAGCAGCCGCGGUAAUACGUAGGGAGCAAGCGUUGUCCGGAAUUACUGGGCGUAAAGGGUGCGUAGGCGGCAUAUUAAGUCAGGUGUGAAAUACUCGGGCUCAACCCGGGGGCUGCAUUUGAGACUGAGAUGCUUGAGUGUGAGAGAGGAAAGUGGAAUUCCUAGUGUAGCGGUGGAAUGCGUAGAUAUUAGGAGGAACACCAGUGGCGAAGGCGACUUUCUGGCUCAUAGCUGACGCUGAGGCACGAAAGCGUGGGGAGCAAACAGGAUUAGAUACCCCUGUAGUC